AGCCGUAGGGAAACCGAGUCUUAAUAGGGCGUCCAGUCGCUAGGAGUAGACCCGAAACCGAGUGAUCUAUCCAUGGGCAGGUUGAAGAUGCAGUAACAUGCAUUGGAGGACCGAACCGACUGUCGUUGAAAAGCCAGCGGAUGACUUGUGGAUAGGAGUGAAAGGCUAAUCAAACUCGGAGAUAGCUGGUUCUCCUCGAAAACUAUUUAGGUAGUGCCUCGUGUCUAACCAUGGGGGGUAGAGCACUGUUUCGGCUAGGGGGUCAUCCCGACUUACCAACCCGAUGCAAACUCCGAAUACCCAUGAGUUCAAUCACGGGAGACACACGGCGGGUGCUAA
rnacentral:rRNA from 1 species